GAGACAGCAGCAGCCGCGGGAAUACGAAGGGUGCAAGCGUUAAUCGGAAUUACUGGGCGUAAAGCGUGCGCAGGCGGUUUGUUAAGACAGAUGUGAAAUCCCCGGGCUUAACCUGGGAACUGCAUUUGAAACUGUCAGGCUGGAGUCUUGUAGAGGGGGGUAGAAUUCCAGGUGUGGCGGUGAAAUGCGUAGAGAUCUGGAGGAAUACCGGUGGCGAAGGCGGCCCCCUGGACAAAGACUGACGCUCAGGUGCGAAAGCGUGGGGAGCAAACAGGAUUAGAUACCCCGGUAGUCCCUGUCUCUUAUAC
rnacentral:rRNA from 1 species